CUGUGUUCUGGCCGUUAUUCUCCAAUCUCAUCCUUCCAUUCACAACCCCAGUGCUGGUUAUAACCGUGUGACAUCACGCAGGGAAGGGGGAAGGCCACGCAGCCUGUGACUCGGAAUGUCGCCCUGCUGCAGCUCACACCUGUUUGCGGUCAGGGCAGUCCGUAUGCAGACGGAGGGCGGCCGAGCGAAAUGAGCCCAUAUGCCAUAAAUGCAACAGCAAUUCAUUAUACCAAGUCAGAGAAUGAAUUGGCAUGUCUGGUCUUAAGGAUGGAAAUGUCUACAAAAUGGACAAGGCCAAUUGUCCUGAGUACAAGCGAACACUCUGGAAUAAUCGCACGGAGCUGUCUCCUGCAUCCCUCAUUCAGGGUAGAGCUGUCUUCCGUAUGUUUGGAAGUGGUCAUAAAAUUUACCUUUCGGUUAAGAAUUAUGGACAAAUUUGCCCUUGAUAUAAAGAUUUUUCACAGCAUCUGUUCUCUUGAAUCUACCAGGGCAAGGGUCCUAAAGGAGAAAAGGGCCGAGUGGGGGAGCAGAGGUGAAGCCUGUGCCCCCCGCCCCAGCACACUCACCUGCACCUGUGCCUGCCUGGCGGCCGACCGUGGCUCAUCGCAAAGGGAGAGGUCCUGAGGAGGAGAGUCCGUAGGGAACACGUGUGAUGGGGUCGCAGCAAUGGCUUCUCCUGAAGGAUGACAUCACCUCUGGAUUAGUUCCUCACUGGAAGACCUGGAAGAGAGUUCUUACCACGCAUGGAUGGCUCUUUGGAGAGGUAAUCCUUAGCGACGGUACCCCAAGGACUCCCCAGAGAAUUGCAAUUGCGUUGUUCUCCAUUUUGAGCAUUUUGAGAACUUCUCUGAGGCCCGCUCUUUGACCAGGUGCUGGUGACGAAUGCACACUGGUAGGGAAACGUGUGCAUUAUGAUACCACUUGAGAUGCAGGGAACCUUGGUUGUAAGAUUAAUACGUAUUUGAUUCUGUGUUUCGAGUAGGACAAUAUGUAUUAUUUGAGGGGUGAGACUUUUGUCCGCAGGUACGCACAAGGACUUACAAAAUAUUUUGCAAGAUGAGGUCACAGAUUUUUAAAGAAAAUGUUUUAUCCUGAAUUGGGCUUUGGUUGAACUAAGGGGCCAAUUAGGAAGGCAGCCACUUGCAAAACUGUCCAGACGUGAAGUAAGUGCUAUUUGUGAUCCUGGGAAAACCACAGGAGAGAUGGGGUGGAAUAGAGGGAGGAACAGCAAAGGGGGAAUGCGUACUUGUCCUGCCAGGAACUAAGCCUCCGGUGUGACUUCGAAGCAGUCCCGUCACUAGCAUCAGGCUCACUUCCUCGUCUGGACUGGUUUCUACAGUCCCACGAGCUGCCUCUGCUGGGAUUGGAGGUG
rnacentral:lncRNA from 12 species